AAUUAUAAAUGAAACUUUUAUUAGAAAUUAUGAAAGAUUUGGAUGAGACAAAAUUUCUACAUCUACUCUACUGUAAGGACAGAGGCAAAGUGAUUUUUUGGUAUAUGAACGCUCAGGUAUUAGCUUUUGGUAUGCAAAUUAGGUGUUUCAAGGUUACAAUUGAAAACAAAUAUGUCAUAAUAUGUACUUCCUUAUUAAAACAAAUAUACAAUUCAAAUCAAUAAAUAAUACAUAACAGUUAAUGUAUUAAUCAACUUUGCCUCAGAAAACAUAUAUAUGAAUCUGACCUCGUGUUGAGAUUAUAUAGAACUAAAUCAGAAGUAUAAAAAAAUGGCGGCCAUGUACUAUAAAAUUGAUUUUUUUUAAUUUUCAUAACAAAGAAGUGAAGAUGAAUAAAAUUAUUAGUAUACUUAAUUAAAACAGCAAAGAAACAAAUGUCACCAAAUGAGAUUUCAACGUUUUUCUGCUGUCUGAAAAUGUGUGCUGUUGCACUUAGUGUAACUACUGUGGAAAUGACAAGACAAACAUUUCAGGAAAUGAAGAAAAUGGAUAGAUCUCAAUAUAUUCUUAACUGGAUUAGAGACCAUUCAAGCAUUGAGAACAUGAAAUUAUCAACAACUUUCAAUAUUGGUAGCCAAAAUGUAUGCCUAAAUGCUUUCCUAAGUGUGCUGGCAUUUCCCCGCAGUACAUACUAUGAAAUAAAGAAAAUGUUCCUAGCUGGUAAACCAUACACUAGUCCGGGGCUAUGUGGAUGAACAACUUUUCAGUGAAACAUGCUGAGAAAAUACCAAACAGUGCAAAAUUUCAUCUGCCUUGCUGCUUAACAAAAUAUUCUGUUUGGGAAUUGAUGUGUGCAGAUGCACAAAAGGAAAACAUUGAACCUCCAAGUUAUAGUCAUUCACUGAAAAUAUGGAGAAGUCAACUCAACCACAUUAAAAUCCCUAAGAGAACCAGGUUCAGCAAGUGCGACACAUGCAUUCAGCUUAAGGAAAGGAUUGCAGCAACAAAUGAAAAAUCAGUAAGAGAGCAAUUACAAUGGCAGCACUCAAUCCAUUUAGAACAGCAAAAGUAAUUACUUUACAAUUGAUCUCAUCAUACCCCAUUACCUUGAAUUAUGAUAAUUAAAUCGAUUUAGCUUGACCAGUCAUACUCAGCUUUAUAAAAAACACCAUGAAUAGAUAUUGUAACAAGAGCCACAAGUUUUGUGAAAGAAAUCAAAUUAAUCAUUAAGAAUAUUUUCAAAAAUGAAAAUUGAACGUAUUUGUUAAACACAAAGUCACAAAGGCCCCCAGCUCCGAUUCAUGCACUUUGUGUUGAUUAGGAAGUGAAACAAUUAUGAAGCCAUUGGUAUUAUAUUGGUAUAACUGAAUAAUGACAUGUCGCUUCCGGACAGCUAAUUGAAUACCACACCUACACAUGCUGUUCAAAAUUCCCGUAAAGUUUCAUAAGUCAAAUACUUUUUUUUUUGAGCUAUGUGUACAACUAGUUAGAAAUUUGCAAAUUUUU